rnacentral:rRNA from 1 species
AAAAUCUCAACUUUAUUAGAAGAGACGCAUUUAUUAGAUAAAAAGCCAGUUCAUGCUUUUACAGUAUGAAAAUUGGUGAUUUAUAAUAACUUAGCAAAUCGCAAAGUGAAAACAGGCGAUAAAUCAUUCAAGUUUCUGACCUAUCAGCUUUCGACGGUAUGGUAUUGGCUUACCGUGGCAGUGACGGUUAACGGGGGAUUAGGGUUCGAUUCCGGAGAGGGAGCCUGAGAAACGGCUACCACAUCUAAGGAAGGCAGCAGGCGCGCAAAUUACCCAAUUCUAACAGUUUGAGAGAGGUAGUAACAAGAAAUAACAAUACAAGGCAGUUAAAAUGCUUUGUAAUUGGAAUGAUAGAAAUUUAAACCCUUUUUAAAGUAUCAAUUGGAGGGCAAGUCUGGUGCCAGCAGCCGCGGUAAUUCCAGCUCCAAUAGCGUAUAUUAAAAUUGUUGCAGUUAAAAAGCUCGUAGUUGAAGUUCUGCUGAAAGUAACCGGUCUGCUUUUAAUAAAAGUGGUAUCUUGGUAUGUAUUUAGCAAUGAUGUC